GGAAGGGCCCAUAGUUCUGUGGUAGAGCAUCUGCUUGGCAUGCAGAAGGUCUCAGGGUCAAUUCCUGGCAUUUCCA